rnacentral:rRNA from 1 species
CGCCCGACCUCCAACCCUUUGUUGUUAAAACUACCUUGUUGCUUUGGCGGGACCGCUCGGUCUCGAGCCGCUGGGGAUUCGUCCCAGGCGAGCGCCCGCCAGAGUUAAACCAAACUCUUGUUAUUAAACCGGUCGUCUGAGUUAAAAUUUUGAAUAAAUCAAAACUUUCAACAACGGAUCUCUUGGUUCUCGCAUCGAUGAAGAACGCAGCGAAAUGCGAUAAGUAAUGUGAAUUGCAGAAUUCAGUGAAUCAUCGAAUCUUUGAACGCACAUUGCGCCCCUUGGUAUUCCGAGGGGCAUGCCUGUUCGAGCGUCAUUACACCACUCAAGCUAUGCUUGGUAUUGGGUGCCGUCCUUAGUUGGGCGCGCCUUAAAGACCUCGGCGAGGCCUCACCGGCUUUAGGCGUAGUAGAAUUUAUUCGAACGUCUGUCAAAGGAGAGGACUUCUGCCGACUGGAACCUUUAUUUUUCUAGGUUGACCUCGGAUCAGGUAGGGAUACCCGCUGAACUUAAGCAUAUCAAUAGCCGGGAGGAA